rnacentral:lncRNA from 1 species
CGGGUCGUGGGAACCGCUGGGCAGGGGGCGGCGGGGCCCCUCACCUGGCUCUGGGGCCCCCCGGGGACGACCGGACCCCGAUCUCUCCGCCCCGCAGGACGCGCGUUGACGGUCGCCCGUAUGCAGCGCCACCAUCCCGGCCGCUCUUCCAAUCUCGCCUUUCUCCGGGCACCUGCCGCCCCUCCCCCGCUCCCCAGACAGGCUUUGCGGAGGGGGCUCAUUCCGCCCGGGGCUGCCCGGCCCUCCGCAGGAGUUGGCUCCCCACAAGGUUCCGGGGCCGAGAUGACAGGGCGGUUCUGUGGUGCUGGGUGCUGGGACUUGAGGGGCAUAGGGGCACCUGCCCUGGAGGAGGCCGAGGCGCAGCCCCCCAGGAGGAAGGGGUGCCUCUGGUGACUUUCAGCUGGACUCUUCCAGCUGGACUCUAGUGCAGCUGAGCUCCUCCCCCAGCCCCGGCUCUGUCCCUGCACCAGGUGUCCAGCAGGCCCUGGAAUCCGCAAAGGCAGAAGGGGAAGUUGGGGUGCUGGGUGCUGGGCAGGGGGUGCUGAGGCCUCACAGCCCGGCGGCUUGGCCCCCACCCACCCCACGGUGGUCCCGCGCCCCACACUUCCUCUCCUCUCCUGUGGUUUCUCCUUCCACUCAGUGCUGCCCAGAGAUGGGCUUCUGUCUAGUUCUCCUGAGAAAUUCCACACUCGCAGCUGGGAAGUCGGGGGACCCCCGAAGCUGUGCGGCGGCCACGCUGCGGCUCCUGCUUCCCUCCUGCUCGGGUGCGGGCUCGGCUGCCUUCUCGUCCCG